AUACACGUCCAUAGGUCUUUGAGAACACCGCAACCCGUCCGAUCUGCGCAGUUAACCGGAGAACCUCCUAGUUAAUACAGCACCACGCUGGGGUGCUAUGGUUU
rfam:Sistotremastrum niveocremeum HHB9708 unplaced genomic scaffold SISNIscaffold_62, whole genome shotgun sequence.